GGGCCCGCACAAGCGGUGGAGCAUGUGGUUUAAUUCGAUGCAACGCGAAGAACCUUACCAGGGUUUGACAUCCUGCGAAUCUCUUGGAAACGAGAGAGUGCCUUCGGGAACGCAGUGACAGGUGGUGCAUGGCUGUCGUCAGCUCGUGUCGUGAGAUGUUGGGUUAAGUCCCGCAACGAGCGCAACCCACGUCUUUAGUUGCCAGCAUUUAGUUGGGCACUCUAGAGAGACUGCCGGUGAUAAACCGGAGGAAGGUGUGGAUGACGUCAAGUCAUCAUGCCCCUUACAUCCUGGGCUACACACGUACUACAAUGCUACGGACAAAGGGCUGCAAGUUCGCGAGGACAAGCAAAUUCCAUAAACCGUGGCUCAGUUCGGAUUGGAGUCUGCAACUCGACUCCAUGAAGGCGGAGUCGCUAGUAAUCCCGGAU
rnacentral:rRNA from 1 species